ACAGUUAUACACUCACACUUUACAGUUAUACACUUUACAGUUAUACACUCACACUUUAGUUAUACACUUUACAGUUAUACACUUUACAGUUAACACUCACACUUUACAGUUAACACUCAUAGUUAACACUCAAACAUCAAAACAUCAAUAUACACACAUAGUGCCAAAUGUUAUCUAAAUGUGUGGCUCUGUAUACGCUCAGAGCCACAUGUUAUCUAAAUGUAUGGCUCUGUUGUAUCAAGGGCACUGUAGUUUCCUAAUGUCCCUGGGCCUAUACGGCUGUAUAUGGGGCUAAAUAUAGGGGCUGUAUGUGGCUAAAACUGGAAACCCCUAACUGGAAAUGAUCACAUCUGGAAUGCUAUAGGUUUACUCUCUGCCUUAAAUGAACGUUUCUCAUCUGUCUGAACUCUUAAACAUCUCAGAGACAGAACGUUUCUCAUCUGUCUACAAACUCUUAAAACUGGCUAGAACCAUAGUUUAGAACUGUUUAGAACUGGCUAGAACUAUAGUUUAGAACGGGUUAGAACUGGCUAGAACUACGGAAACAUAUUUGAGAACUGGUUAGAACUGGCUAGAACCAUAGUUUAGAACUGGUUAGAACUGGCUAGAACCAUGGAACCAGAGUUUAGAACUGGUUAGAACUGGCUAGAACCAUGGAACCAGAGUUUAGAACUGGUUAGAACUGGCUAGAACCAUGGAACCAGAGUUUAGAACUGGCUAGAACCAUGGAACCAUGCCUGUCUGUCUGGUCUGGAUUCUAACACGCUACAGGGACCUCAAUGUACCCUGACUAGAACACACAGCUAUGAUGCAACACAGAGGUUGAUACUAAUAAGGAUUCUAGAGAAAACGUGAUGAUCUGAACCGUGUGUGUGUCUGUGAUGUAAUACACGUCUUCGUGAUGACGAAGAGCACAACUCUUUGUAUUGAUGAAACACUCGCCUGUCUGAACCUCUGACUAGUCUAAUAUCGUGGCGCUGCUAUUGGCCCGUGAGCACAAAGGGGGGGAAAUCCGAUUGGUUGUGGCGGUGCCUUGCUUGGUUUACUAUGUAACUCUGUUUCUUGGCAAAUUUAAUGAAACCUGUUUGUUUUUUUAUUUUUCAUAAUGUGGCAUAUUUGUAUUUCAAACUUAAAGCCCAAUAAAACUUCACAGUGUAAAAA